GACGAACGCUGGCGGCGUGCUUCAUACAUGCAAGUCGAACGAGGUCCAACUGGUAGCAAUACCGGUGAAGACCUAGUGGCGAACGGGUGAGUAACACGCGAGGAACCCUGCCCCGAAGACCGGGAUAACAGUGGGAAACCGCUGCUAAUACCGGAUACCCCCACCGGAUCGCAUGGUCUGGUGGAGGAAAUGGUAUUCCGUCUUCGGGAGGGCCUCGCGGCCUAUCAGCUUGUUGGUGGGGUAANGGCCUACCAAGG
rnacentral:rRNA from 1 species